UACAGAGGAGCCAAGCGUUGUCCGGAUUGACUGGGCGUAAAGCGCACGCAGGCGGUCGUGCACGUGGGGUGUGAAAACUGGCGGCUUAACUGCCAGAGGCCACCUCAUACGGCGCGACUCGAGCCCUGCAGAGGUCCAUGGAAUUGCCGGUGUAGUGGUGAAAUGCGUAGAGAUCAGCAGGAACACCCAGGGGGAAACCAGUGGACUGGGCAGGAGCUGACGCUCAGGUGCGAAAGCGUGGGGAGCGAACCGG
rnacentral:rRNA from 1 species